rnacentral:rRNA from 1 species
GACCUUAACAAUACCACCCUGAACACUGGUCUUGGCAGUUAAGCAGGGUUGGAGGUAGUAAAUAAUCAGAUGGGAGACCACCUGGGAAUACCAGGUAUAGUAC